GUUUGGGGCAGCAGAAUUCCUAGAGCCGCCCCUGCUUCCACAGUUGGCUACUCGCAACUUAUCUUUGGAUGCAGCUCAAAAUUCUUUACACCAGUUCCUGUUGCUCUUCAGAGCAGGUGACACUGGAAUUGGAGUAAUGGUUUAUGGGUCACUUUUCAGGCCAAAAGCAGCCCUGCUAAUUCUUUGGAUUUCAGGAGAACUGUAUCAGGGAUGAAUUUGUCCCCCUUAUGUCAAAGAGGGGGGAAAACUGCUGUUGCUGUGCCAAUCUACUUUUGCAGAAGGCCGGAAAGCAGGCAGAAGAGCAGUAUCAAGACUUCUCCCCACAAAUAAGUGUUUUGGGAGGUGGAAGGUAUGUGCAGCUCAUCCUGUGCCUGGGGCUGGAGGAGAGUGCAUUGCAGUCAGUGGUGGAAAAUGAGCUGGUCUGUGUCCACACAUUCUGGGCUUUUGGUGCAAACUUUGAAGGAAAAAUCAAAUAUAUUGAUCAGAUUUCUUCAAAGCUGCUUCAGUAAAGUGGCAUGGCUGGUGGUCAAUUCCUGCAGGGUAGCCUACAGUGACUUGACAAGUCCCAGUCACCAGGAAACCUGAGUCUGCUAUCUUGACCUCCUCAGGCAAGUAUGGAUCUUUUUUUCCAUCCUGGCUUUCUGCUAUACAUAUCUGGCGAUAGCCUAUUUAUCCAAUAUAUCUCUCUCCAAGUGUUGUUAAUCUGACAGCUAAGGCAGUGAGAACCCUGUAGAGUUCAGUUCAUGAAGGGGAUUACAAACCAGUCCUUGCACUUCAAAUUGCAGUGAUUCAAAGGAAACCAACACCCGGAGCUUCACCUGAGUUAAUCCCUACUGCAGAUACAUUUCUUACACAGAUGCUUUCAACAGGCUGGAUUCUGAUACUCUACUCACAUGGAGAAGUACCUUGUUUCACAAGUACUUCCAUUGUCCAACUCACCCUGUAACCUAUUGCUGGGAAAGAGGGCCGCUCUUCAGAAGAGAGGUAAAUUGGCUGAGAGAAGGAAGGUUUGCCAGCUUCCCAUCUCAAUGUGUGGUGGAAGAGAAGAAUGUGUAGGGGAAAAUCAACCCAUGUGCUAAACUUUCUCAAGCAUGGGCUGAAAUUCAUGAAUCUAGAGAACUGUAAGCCCAAAGCUCAGUUUCAGGUGAGUUUGAUGUGAAUAUUUUGCACAACUCCCAGUGGCAAAUGCUGUUUUGGAUGUUGUUCUACCCUUGCAGAACAAACAGAGAGCAGAAAUAAGGUCUUAGCUGUCAAAAGUUUUGGAUUGAGUUUCCUUUUAAGAAUGUGACACAAAUUUAAGGCUAAUGUUCUGCAUUUAACUCAAGCUGUCAUCCCUCUGGUGGUGGUGUUUUCUCAUAGGCACCUGAAGGCCAGAGUCUGCUUUGAAGCUUGUGGCUUUUGACAGUUUGUAUCUCUCCAUCCUCAGGAAUGCUGCUAAGGGCAGCACUUUCAAUGCAUCCUUAUGGACUAGGACAACACAGUGGGGAAAAAACCUCUCAGACACUUCAGAUCUGAGUCAAAGCCCAGUGAAGUCAAUGGGAGUGUUUCAUGGACUUCAAUAGGCUUUGGAUCCGGACCUAAGGACCAAUGUAAAUCAAGAUAAUGGAAUCAUUACCCCUUAAAGCUACUUGCCCUUCAUUGUGGAAUUAGUGACUUCAUCAACUCCAGCAGAACAAACACAGCCUGGCAGGUCCUGCUCCUAAACCAUCUCUGGUUUGACUUCACUGACUCCAGUGGAAUUACAUCAAGGAUGAAUUUGGCCUUAUGGUGUUUUUUAUAGAUUAAUUAUUUGCGUUGGAAACCAGAAUUGCCUACAAUUAGCUCUUGAUCAAUUCUAAAAAUAUUGCCAUCCAACAUGAAAAAAGCAACUAAAAGCUAAGCUGAAGAAUUCCAGCUUGUGUUUGUACCUGUCAGCCAAAAGUAGUGCAACUCUGAUAGUGCUUUCAACUGAUAAUUCUAGCAGAAAUGAGCUGGCCUUGAACUGAGUGAAUUAAAAUGAAGAAGUAGCAUAUGCACACUAACAACCUAAAUUCUCUACUCAGAGGUGUAUGGGAACUCCCAUGCAUUUGUACGUCAGACAGAGAAGUGGUAUUUUUUAAUGUACAGACUUGGCUUACAGCUAGUCUGUCCUCCUGUACCUGUGCAUAUAUUAUGUUUGACUUCACUGCAAGUUGCUCAUGGCUGUCUGAAGGUGGGGAAUUUAUCCCUAUAAUGUGAGAGUUCUCAUUUCAAUAUCUGAAAUAUAAGGGUUUUUUUUUAAGUCACAAGAAAGGGAUAAGAGGCUGAAAGAGAGAUGGUGUUGGCCCAUGAAUGAACUAAGGACCUGUGGAGGUCAGUUUUGAGGUUGGUCUAUGGGAUACACGUUGUGAUAUGUGACACUGUAAGGCAAAUACUACCAUCCAUCAUCAGCCCAAAAGAUAUUUCAGUAUGCUUUCAGUGUACUCCAGGAUGACAUGGAUCAGCUUUAUGAAAACUGGGAUGGAUAGUGGUAUCCAGGUCACAGGCUGUUCAAAUUAUAGUUGGUCAAAAAAAAAAAAAGUGGGGGAGUGAAUUUCCACAAAAACAUUCAAUUUUUUUCAUUUUCAUUAAAAAUUCACAUUUCAAAGUUUCCUUUCCAGCUGAAGCUAAAAUAAACCACCUCAUGAUGGCCUUGACCCUGAAAACAUCUAAUCUGGUGAUUCCCUGAGAUGUAUCCAGAAGGGAAAGAUACAUGUCGCAAAAUCCAAGCAUGUGGCCCUGGAUUCUAAUCUCAUUUACAGCAGUAUAAAUCCAGAGUAACAUCACUAAGGCCUAUGGAGUUACUCUGGAUUUACACCUCCCAGUGUAACCAAGAGGAGAAUCUGAUUAGUGUUGGUCGGAAAUCUUUUUUUUGUUUCUGUUUUUUUCUGUAAAAAAAAAAAAAGAUGGAAACUUUUUUAUUAUUAUUUUCUUCUAAUUUGUUGGGGGGAGGAGAGGGAAGCGGCCUUUUCAUCAAAAACUCAAAAACCAGGAUGAGGGAAAAAUCUUUUGGGGUUUUCAACAAAAACCCAAAAAAAUUGAUGGAAAUUGAAGCUUUUUUGCACAUAUUUUCCAUUUAAUUGAAAGGCCAUUUUCUGUAGAAAAACAGGUGUUGGUGGCAAAUUUUUGACCAGCUCUAAAUCUGACUCAUAAUUCACGCAAAUAAAACAGUGCUAAGCUAAAAUUCAGGAAUGAGGGAGAUAGUGAGAACCCCAUUUCACAUGUGUUCCCUUUCUCAUGAGAUUACAUUCAAGGACAGCUGUAAUUUGAAGAGGAAGGAUGUUCCAGUGGUUAGAUCAGGGGUAGGCAACCUAUGGCAUGUGUGCCGAAGGUGGCACAUGAGCUGAU